rnacentral:misc_RNA from 1 species
AAGUCGUAACAAGGUUUCCGUAGGUGAACCUGCGGAAGGAUCAUUACCGAGUUCUCGGGCUUCGGCUCGAAUCUCCCACCCUUUGUGAACAUACCUCUGUUGCUUUGGCGGCUCUUUGCCGCGAGGUGGCCCCCGCGGGCCCCCCCGCGCGCUUUCCGCCAGAGGACCUUCAAACUCCAGUCAGUAAACGUCGACGUCUGAUAAACAAGUUAAUAAACUAAAACUUUCAACAACGGAUCUCUUGGUUCUG